UCCUUAUACACACAGCCAGGCUGAGCGGCCAGGACAGACGCAGGCAGAGCCUUGCCUAGGAGGACCUUGUCCCUCGCUCGCAGUGACUCUUUGGACUCAGGAGGGCGGGACUGCGCCUGCCUGGGACCUAGGCUGGAAACGCUGGAGCAGGUCUGCGCUGGCAUGGAGGGCACGCUCGUGCAAGUACCUUCCCGAGGCUGACGGGCUUCCCGAGAGAGACAAGCACGCUGCCGGCCGCAGCCCCUCCUCCGAGCCUCUCACCCCUUGGGCCACGACGGCCUGGUGGAGGCUGAAGCCACAGCAGCCGGCCCAGGGCCGUGGCGCACUGGUGCCGCCCCGUGACUGACGGGGCCACCAGGAGGCCCAAAACCCUCGUGAAGGUGUCUGUGCAGGUCCCACAGCACCGUCCUGGGUGUGGUCUGAGGCCACCCCAGGAUGACCCCCGCCGCCUCCCCCGGUCCAGCUCCCUGCUGAGGCCUCUGCGGCCACAUGGACUGUCGUGGGUCCAGAGCAGCAGAAAGAACACCCCCGCCUGCAGCCCCUACGGGCUCCAAGACUCAGGAAGGCUCCCCGCACAGCCUGGUCCAGGCAGGGUGGGUGGGGGAGUGGGGGGUCCCUGUCUCUGAACACCUCGCCCUGAGCCACAACCUCUCCCAAACAGGCGGCCGGGAGAAGCGGCAGGGAGCGUGUGCUGGGACAUCUCAGCACCUCAUGUGGUCUCUGACCCUCAUGUCCUUCUCUGUGAAGUUAGGACAAUGAUAACAUGCAGCACUGCCGUGAGGAUUAAAUAUGACGGGUGUAAACACUGCCUGGAGCCUGGCAGAUGGCCGGUGCCCCUUAAACAUGGUCACCAUGAGAUCAGAAAUGCGAGGGUUGGGAGGGCUCACCCACUUCCUUCACCAAACGUUGGAAUUAAUGCGGCUAAAAAUGACUUGCCGCUCAGGGGCGCCCGGUGGCUCAGCCAGUCAAGCAUCAGAUUCCCGAUUUCGGCCCGGGUCGCGUUCUCGGCGUUUGUGAGAUCGAGCCCGCGUGGGUCUCUGUGCCGACAGCACGGAGACUGUUUGGGAUUCUCUCUCUCCCUCUCUCUCUCUGCUCCUCCCCAGCUCACACUUUGUCCCUCUCUCUCAAAAUAAGUAUUUUUUUUUUU